GAUGAAGAACGUAGCGAAAUGCGAUAACUAAUGUGAAUUGCAGAAUUCAGUGAAUCAUCGAGUCUUUGAACGCACAUUGCGCCCCCUGGUAUUCCGGGGGGCAUGCCUGUCCGAGCGUCAUUGCUGCCCUCAAGCACGGCUUGUGUGUUGGGCUCCGUCCCCCCGGGGACGGGCCCGAAAGGCAGCGGCGGCACCGACUCCGGUCCUCGAGCGUAUGGGGCUUUGUCACCCGCUCUGUAGGCCCGGCCGGCGCCAGCCGACAACCCAUCAUCCUUUUCAGGUUGACCUCGGAUCAGGUAGGGAUACCCGCUGAACUUAAGCAUAUCAAUAAGCGGAGGA
rnacentral:misc_RNA from 1 species